rnacentral:rRNA from 1 species
CUGUGAGCUCGAUGAGUAGGGCGGGACACGUGGUAUCCUGUCUGAAUAUGGGGGGACCAUCCUCCAAGGCUAAAUACUCCUGACUGACCGAUAGUGAACCAGUACCGUGAGGGAAAGGCGAAAAGAACCCCGGCGAGGGGAGUGAAAAAGAACCUGAAACCGUGUACGUACAAGCAGUGGGAGCCUCUUUAUGGGGUGACUGCGUACCUUUUGUAUAAUGGGUCAGCGACUUAUAUUCUGUAGCAAGGUUAACCGAAUAGGGGAGCCGAAGGGAAACCGAGUCUUAACUGGGCGUUAAGUUGCAGGGUAUAGACCCGAAACCCGGUGAUCUAGCCAUGGGCAGGUUGAAGGUUGGGUAACACUAACUGGAGGACCGAACCGACUAAUGUUGAAAAAUUAGCGGAUGACUUGUGGCUGGGGGUGAAAGGCCAAUCAAACCGGGAGAUAGCUGGUUCUCCCCGAAAGCUAUUUAGGUAGCGCCUCGUGAAUUCAUCUCCGGGGGUAGAGCACUGUUUCGGCAAGGGGGUCAUCCCGACUUACCAACCCGAUGCAAACUGCGAAUACCGGAGAAUGUUAUCACGGGAGACACACGGCGGGUGCUAACGUCCGUCGUGAAGAGGGAAACAACCCAGACCGCCAGCUAAGGUCCCAAAGUCAUGGUUAAGUGGGAAACGAUGUGGGAAGGCCCAGACAGCCAGGAUGUUGGCUUAGAAGCAGCCAUCAUUUAAAGAAAGCGUAAUAGCUCACUGGUCGAGUCGGCCUGCGCGGAAGAUGUAACGGGGCUAAACCAUGCACCGAAGCUGCGGCAGCGACGCUUAUGCGUUGUUGGGUAGGGGAGCGUUCUGUAAGCCUGCGAAGGUGUGCUGUGAGGCAUGCUGGAGGUAUCAGAAGUGCGAAUGCUGACAUAAGUAACGAUAAAGCGGGUGAAAAGCCCGCUCGCCGGAAGACCAAGGGUUCCUGUCCAACGUUAAUCGGGGCAGGGUGAGUCGACCCCUAAGGCGAGGCCGAAAGGCGUAGUCGAUGGGAAACAGGUUAAUAUUCCUGUACUUGGUGUUACUGCGAAGGGGGGACGGAGAAGGCUAUGUUGGCCGGGCGACGGUUGUCCCGGUUUAAGCGUGUAGGCUGGUUUUCCAGGCAAAUCCGGAAAAUCAAGGCUGAGGCGUGAUGACGAGGCACUACGGUGCUGAAGCAACAAAUGCCCUGCUUCCAGGAAAAGCCUCUAAGCAUCAGGUAACAUCAAAUCGUACCCCAAACCGACACAGGUGGUCAGGUAGAGAAUACCAAGGCGCUUGAGAGAACUCGGGUGAAGGAACUAGGCAAAAUGGUGCCGUAACUUCGGGAGAAGGCACGCUGAUAUGUAGGUGAAGCGACUUGCUCGUGGAGCUGAAAUCAGUCGAAGAUACCAGCUGGCUGCAACUGUUUAUUAAAAACACAGCACUGUGCAAACACGAAAGUGGACGUAUACGGUGUGACGCCUGCCCGGUGCCGGAAGGUUAAUUGAUGGGGUCAGCGCAAGCGAAGCUCUUGAUCGAAGCCCCGGUAAACGGCGGCCGUAACUAUAACGGUCCUAAGGUAGCGAAAUUCCUUGUCGGGUAAGUUCCGACCUGCACGAAUGGCGUAAUGAUGGCCAGGCUGUCUCCACCCGAGACUCAGUGAAAUUGAACUCGCUGUGAAGAUGCAGUGUACCCGCGGCAAGACGGAAAGACCCCGUGAACCUUUACUAUAGCUUGACACUGAACAUUGAGCCUUGAUGUGUAGGAUAGGUGGGAGGCUUUGAAGUGUGGACGCCAGUCUGCAUGGAGCCGACCUUGAAAUACCACCCUUUAAUGUUUGAUGUUCUAACGUUGACCCGUAAUCCGGGUUGCGGACAGUGUCUGGUGGGUAGUUUGACUGGGGCGGUCUCCUCCUAAAGAGUAACGGAGGAGCACGAAGGUUGGCUAAUCCUGGUCGGACAUCAGGAGGUUAGUGCAAUGGCAUAAGCCAGCUUGACUGCGAGCGUGACGGCGCGAGCAGGUGCGAAAGCAGGUCAUAGUGAUCCGGUGGUUCUGAAUGGAAGGGCCAUCGCUCAACGGAUAAAAGGUACUCCGGGGAUAACAGGCUGAUACCGCCCAAGAGUUCAUAUCGACGGCGGUGUUUGGCACCUCGAUGUCGGCUCAUCACAUCCUGGGGCUGAAGUAGGUCCCAAGGGUAUGGCUGUUCGCCAUUUAAAGUGGUACGCGAGCUGGGUUUAGAACGUCGUGAGACAGUUCGGUCCCUAUCUGCCGUGGGCGCUGGAGAACUGAGGGGGGCUGCUCCUAGUACGAGAGGACCGGAGUGGACGCAUCACUGGUGUUCGGGUUGUCAUGCCAAUGGCACUGCCCGGUAGCUAAAUGCGGAAGAGAUAAGUGCUGAAAGCAUCUAAGCACGAAACUUGCCCCGAGAUGAGUUCUCCCUGAC